rnacentral:rRNA from 1 species
CCUACGGGUGACAGCAGUGGGGAAUUUUGCACAAUGGGCGAAAGCCUGACGCAGCGACGCCGCGUGAGUGUGAAGCCCUUCGGGGUGUAAAGUUCUUACAAUCGGGACGAAUUUUGACUGUACCUGUCAAGGAAGCCCCGGCUAACUCCGUGCCAGCAGCCGCGGUAAUACGGGGGGUGCAAGCGUUGUCCGGAUUCAUUGGGCGUAAAGCGUUCGUAGGCGGCAAGGUAAGUCUGAUGUUAAAGCCCGGGGCUCAACUCCGGGUCGGCAUUGGAUACUAUCGAGCUAGAAUGGGGUAGAGGUAAAGGGAAUUCCUGGUGUAGCGGUGAAAUGCGUAGAUAUCAGGAGGAACAUCGGUGGCGAAAGCGCUUUACUGGACCAUGAUUGACGCUGAGGAACGAAAGCCAGGGGAGCAAAUGGGAUUAGAUACCCCUGUAGUC